rnacentral:rRNA from 1 species
CCGCCCGUCACAUCACGAAAGUGGGCUGUACUAGAAGUCGCCAUGCCAACCCGCAAGGGAGGCUAGCGCCCAAGGUAUGGUUCAUGAUUGGGGUG